ACACAAGGAAGGAGGUGGUCCGGAAUUUUGAGUAGUACUUCUUGGACAUGUGAGGUGGCUGCCCGCUAGCAGCACCAGGUGCCCGGAUCACCCGCGCCCUGCGCGCGCUGGCGAAUCCCAGGCAGCUACCCGGCCCCGAGCCCCUGGUUUGUCCGACCAGGAUUACCUGGCUCGGGGGCCGACCCAU
rnacentral:sRNA from 1 species